GGGCCGCUAGCUCAGCUGGUUAGAGCGCCAUCCUCACACGGUGGAAGUCGCUGGUUCGAGUCCAGCGCGGCCCA
rnacentral:tRNA from 2 species